AGGAGUUUAAUCUAAUUUAGUUGGAGGGUGUCUGUCUGCGGUGUUGUUUUUUGGAGUGUGGGAACAGAGGAGGGGAGCUGCCCCCUUGAAUGGUCCCUUCUGCGCCAGAAGCAGUGGGGAGCCGCGCGACGCCAGCGAUCCAAGGCCCGGCCUUGAAAGAGGAUUAAAGCGAUGCUUGAUUUGCAAUUCACACGAAAGCGCCCCGCGAACCUCUGGUAAUAUUUCAAUCCACAUUUCAAGGGAAGUGGCCUUAAAAUAGCGGCCUAAAUUGUUCUGCCGCGGCCCGGACACUCCUUCAUGCAUUUUAUAACGCAGAGGGCCAAGGGCCUUUUCUCUCUGCGCCUCACCACCCCCAACCACCCCGUAUCUUACAUGUGCUGAAGUGUAAUUAAAACUUGUUCUUAAGUUUGGGGCAACCUA
rnacentral:lncRNA from 1 species